rnacentral:tRNA from 1 species
UUAAAUGAAACCAAAAUAGAGGUAUAUCACUGUUAAUGAUAAAAUUGAAUUUUCCGUUUAAA